rnacentral:rRNA from 1 species
CACUCUUCGGAGUGAGCGGCGGACGGGUUAGUAACGCGUGGGAAUGUACCCAGAUCUAAGGAAUAGCCACUGGAAACGGUGAGUAAUACCUUAUACGCCCUUCGGGGGAAAGAUUUAUCGGAUUUGGAUCAGCCCGCGUUAGAUUAGAUAGUUGGUGGGGUAACGGCCUACCAAGUCUACGAUCUAUAGCUGGUUUUAGAGGAUGAUCAGCAACACUGGGACUGAGACACGGCCCAGACUCCUACGGGAGGCAGCAGUGGGGAAUCUUGGACAAUGGGCGCAAGCCUGAUCCAGCCAUGCCGCGUGAGUGAUGAAGGCCUUAGGGUCGUAAAGCUCUUUCGCCAGGGAUGAUAAUGACAGUACCUGGUAAAGAAACCCCGGCUAACUCCGUGCCAGCAGCCGCGGUAAUACGGAGGGGGUUAGCGUUGUUCGGAAUUACUGGGCGUAAAGCGCGCGUAGGCGGGUUGUUAAGUUAGAGGUGAAAUCCCGGGGCUCAACCCCGGAACUGCCUUUAAUACUGGCAACCUAGAGUUCGAGAGAGGUGAGUGGAAUUCCGAGUGUAGAGGUGAAAUUCGUAGAUAUUCGGAGGAACACCAGUGGCGAAGGCGGCUCACUGGCUCGAUACUGAC